rnacentral:lncRNA from 1 species
ACUUGUUUCUCAGAGAAUUCUACAUUACAAUUGUGUUUCAAUAGUCAAAAGAUACCUAAUUAAAUCCUAAGCUGGGUAUUUAUAGGCUCUUAAAAAGUGGGAAUUUAAAAUUCAAACAUAGGCUGCCGCAUCAUUGGUUGACGACCAAAGUGACGGUCCAUCGUAAUACUGACGGCCCGUUACCAAGCCUGUCGCUGGGACUCUGACUUCCAUGUUGUCUGUUUAAGGUUAAUAGCCAAAGUGACGGUCCGUCGUAAGCUUGAAGGCCCGUCAACCAGUCUGUCAAUGAGAUCCUGAAUUCCAUGAUUUCUGUUUAAGACCGACGGAUACAGUGAUGGUCCGCCAUUGUCCUGACGAUCCGUCACUUGGUCCGUCACUGGGGUCCUUGAUGACUUCAUUUCUGCUUAAGUCUAACGGACACAACGACGGUCCGUCGCAAGCCUGACGGCCCGUCAGUUAGUCCAUCACAUGCAAUCAUUUCCUGCUUUUCCAAGUUAUUCCUUCUUCUGAGUCAUUUUUUUGAGAACA